AGAAAGCGGGCGAUUAGGAAGUAGAGCUCUGAAGUCAACUGCGCGAUGUGUGGCCUGUCUGAAGCCAUGUUUUCGGCGUGCUUCGGCGGGGGCAGCGCCGGAGCCGGGCCGCUGGGUGUCGGUGGCUGCCCUGUAGCUGUCACUGUUUAUCCACCAGGAAGAGGCUGCCUCCAUUCAGGCGCUCGAAAACAGGCCCGGCUCGGUUCAGCUCACAGUGCUCCUCCGCGCGGUGACGAUUCUAGAGCCCCGCGGUGGGUUUGGUCGCCAAACACCGUCGUAAAUACCUGGGGACGCAAACCACGAGCAGACGCGUGUUUGUAUGAGGGGGAAAAUAUUGAUUUUAAUGGUCGAGUUUUAAUCUUACGUAGUUGUUUUUAUCCAGAUCCCCCUCCCCCUUCAAAGGGGAAAACGCGAGCCCUCGGCGGAGGGAUAUCAGAGGUGUGUUUCACGCAUAGGCUACUGUGGAGGGGAGCUUGUAAUGGCAACCUACUUCAGGAAGAGAGAAUUUGUUCGUUACUGAAAGUGGUCGAUACCUAACAUCGAGACGACGUUUGACUCGUUAAUAAGUAACGCUUGAGUAUGAAUCGAGCUGCGGAUGGACACUUAAAAUUUUUAGACGUAAAACAUGGCUGCCGAAUCUGCGCGAGAAGGCUAGCUAAUCCCUAAAAGCCAACUUGACGUCGACGUUUGUUUGCUUAAGUGUUCGCUUCGUUUUGGUGUUACUCGAACAAAAUGUUUCGCUAACACACACUCGCCCUCCCCUGAAAGCCUGCUCGGCGCGGAAGAAGUCCAUCUCUUUAUCGCCGCCUGACACUAAAAUGGGGGAAGGGUUGUUAUUGGCGGCAGAGGGGGCAACAACAUAGCCUGAUGAAGGAAAAUCUCGUGAGUUAGUGGAACAGCACGGAAACAUUGGAGUAACAUUAUGGUAAUUAUCACGAAUCCACCGAAGGGACACUUAACUCCUGGUUAUCCUAAAGCAGCUUCAAUUCAUUAAGUGCAUCAAUACACAAAUUAACAGUUGCCAGUAUGUCUCAUAGCUACCAUUCAGUGUACAUAAUCACAGUAAGAUUCACCGACAGCCUUGCUGAAGGGCACGUCAGCAUCCCCCCCAUCAUGUUCCAUGCGUUGUAGGUCUUGACCCUGGAAGAUCCCCAAGCUAAAGCCAAGAACAUUUGACAGUAAAAUGAAAAGUCAUCAAAAUGCAAAGUUUGGUUGGAAAAGCCACUUGAACCUGAGUACAAGGCAGAAAGAAUUUGGAAAAUCGACCUAAGUGUUAAAAACGACACAACUUCAAUAUUUCUCAACAUUCUCCUUGAUUCUUUCAAUUUGUCUCCUAAUCAGGGAACCCCCUUCUCCGAUUAGAUUACAAGUGUCAGUUUAAAUACAUGUAGGUUCAAGAGUCACAUUUAUUUGUGUGAAAAGAAACGGGAGCACCCACCUGAAUUCAUUUUCAGUGUUUGACAAAUGAACACGUCUGAAAAUACCAACCUACAAAUAAAGUGAAGCACCUUUAUGAAAAUGCCGAGACUUUGCAUUUGGCCGGGGCAGUUACAGUGAAAAUGAUGACUCAGUCAUCCCGGCAACCUCAAGCACAGAGGCCACCAACCUUUUUGAAGCCGAGAGCGACUUCCUGGGUACUGAUUAAUGCAAAGGGCUAUGGGGUUCAAUACACACUUAUGAAAUAACAAAUUUGCCCAAAUUGCCUUUAAUAGCCUUACUGUUAUAUUAAUAAUGAAUUCAUUGAUGCAGAGACACUGAUCAUGUUAAUUCUCAGUAGUUAGGAAAUGGAUGAAUAUCAAUAUGUAACACUUCAUCUCUACAAAUCUCUGCCAAUGUUCACAUUUUCAAAUGAUCACUUCGACGACAUUCCUCAGAAAUCACAACGGCCCAUUACUCAUUCAAUCUUUUUAGAACAGACUCACAGGCUACUUAAGUGGUCUUUGGGGCUUACCUGUCGGGCAUCACCUUGGUGAACUCUGCUCGAGACACUGAAAUCAGAAACAUCCCAAAUUGCAAGUAACAGUUGAUCAAAAUGAUCGGUCAAACAAAAGAAUUAGCUAUCCCAGAAACUUAUGAGCAAAAAGACGAGAAAAGAGAUUUGUGCAGAAAAGGAAGUGGUGUGCCCAUCCAUUGUUUUUGAACAAUAUGCAAUUCAAUGCUACAAGGAAAAUAAAACACUAAAAGUGUCAAUAAAAGAAGUUGUGCUCAAAGGAAAUUGGGCAUCAAAGAUAGUGAUGAAAAGUAUUAACUAAAAACACUGUUAGUGGCAUUAUUUUCUUCUGUUUCCAUGUGUAUGUUGACCUAUAAACUGAACAACUCAA